rnacentral:rRNA from 1 species
CCUGGCGGCACUAGCGCGGUGGUCCCACCUGACCCCAGCCGAACUCAGAAGUGAAACGCCGUAGCGCCGAUGGUAGUGUGGGGUCUCCCCAUGCGAGAGUAGGGAACUGCCAGGC